GGAUUGUGGCUCAGUAGUAGAGUGCUUGCCUAGCAUGCAUGAGGCAUUGGGUUCGAUCCUCAGCACCA
rnacentral:tRNA from 1 species